rnacentral:rRNA from 1 species
UGUAAGCGUAUACCAAAGUUGUUGCAGUUAAAACGCUCGUAGUCGGAACUUGGCCGUGUCGGAUGAGUGCACGUCGUGUGCGCACUUCGCGGGGAUUGCUUUUGUGGUCUUGCGUAGGAUGAGGCACUUUUAUUAGUGAACGUCCUCACGCAACCACUUUUUACUGUGAGAAAAUCAGAGUGCUCAAAGCAGGCAUUUGCCGUGAAUGUAUUAGCAUGGAAUAAUAGAAUAGGACUUGGUUCUAUUUUGUUGGUUUGUUGGGACUGAGUAAUGAUUAAGAGGGACAGUUGGGGGCAUUUGUAUUUCGGUGCUAGAGGUGAAAUUCUUAGAUUACCGAAAGACAAACUGCUGCGAAAGCGUCUGCCAAGGAUGUUUUCAUUGA